rnacentral:rRNA from 1 species
UACGUAGGGGGCAAGCGUUGUCCGGAAUCAUUGGGCGUAAAGAGCGUGUAGGCGGCCCGGUAAGUCCGCUGUGAAAGUCCAGGGCUCAACCCUGGGAUGCCGGUGGAUACUGUCGGGCUCGAGUCCGGAAGAGGAGUGUGGAAUUCCUGGUGUAGCGGUGAAAUGCGCAGAUAAUCAGGAGGAACACCAAUGGCGAAGGCAGCACCUCUGGGACGUGACUGACGCUGAGACGCGAAAGCGUGGGGAGCAAACAGG